AUUGAACGCUGGCGGCAUGCUUUACACAUGCAAGUCGAACGGCAGCGGGGAGGAGCUUGCUUCUCUGCCGGCGAGUGGCGAACGGGUGAGUAAUACAUCGGAACGUGUCGAGAAGAGGGGGAUAACCACCCGAAAGGGUGGCUAAUACCGCAUAAAUUCUGAGGAAGAAAGCUGGGGACCUAGGAAUAGGCCUAGCGCUUUUUGAGCGGCCGAUGUCGGAUUAGCUAGUUGGUGAGGUAAAGGCUCACCAAGGCGAAGAUCUGUAGCGGGUCUGAGAGGAUGAUCCGCCACACUGGGACUGAGACACGGCCCAGACUCCUACGGGAGGCAGCAGUGGGGAAUUUUGGACAAUGGGGUCAGCCCUGAUCCAGCCAUGCCGCGUGUAUGAAGAAGGCCUUAGGGUUGUAAAGUACUUUUGUUAGGGAAGAAAAGUCAGCUGUGAAUAAUGGCUGAUACUGACGGUACCUAAAGAAUAAGCACCGGCUAACUACGUG
rnacentral:rRNA from 1 species